rnacentral:rRNA from 1 species
GAUGAACGCUGGCGGCGUGCCUAAUACAUGCAAGUCGAGCGAACAGACGAGGAGCUUGCUCCUCUGACGUUAGCGGCGGACGGGUGAGUAACACGUGGAUAACCUACCUAUAAGACUGGGAUAACUUCGGGAAACCGGAGCUAAUACCGGAUAACAUGUUGAACCGCAUGGUUCAACAGUGAAAGACGGUCUUGCUGUCACUUAUAGAUGGAUCCGCGCCGCAUUAGCUAGUUGGUAAGGUAACGGCUUACCAAGGCAACGAUGCGUAGCCGACCUGAGAGGGUGAUCGGCCACACUGGAACUGAGACACGGUCCAGACUCCUACGGGAGGCAGCAGUAGGGAAUCUUCCGCAAUGGGCGAAAGCCUGACGGAGCAACGCCGCGUGAGUGAAGAAGGUCUUCGGAUCGUAAAACUCUGUUAUUAGGGAAGAACAAAUGUGUAAGUAACUAUGCACGUCUUGACGGUACCUAAUCAGAAAGCCACGGCUAACUACAUG